rnacentral:rRNA from 1 species
CCGUAGCCCAAGAGAUCGGGAUAACACCUGGGAACAGAUGCUAAUACCGGAUAACAACAGAUGAUGCCUAUCAACUGUUUAAAAGAUGGUUCUGCUAUCACUCUUGGAUGGACCUGCGGUGCAUUAGCUAGUUGGUAGGGUAACGGCCUACCAAGGCGAUGAUGCAUAGCCGAGUUGAGAGACUGAUCGGCCACAUUGGGACUGAGACACGGCCCAAACUCCUACGGGAGGCAGCAGUA